CUACCUCCAGCAAAAAGAAAAAAAAAUGCGUGAAAAGGUACAAAAGCAAAAUCAGCGGCUCUUGUAUAUAAAAGAUAAAGCUAUCCAUAUUGCGAUCUUUAAUUAAGAGUGAAGAAGUUAUGUACCACAAUCAAUGUUGGUAAUUAAGCUGCGUACUAUUGGUGUAAGUUGUUGAUAACUUAAGCAGAGAUCGAAAAUGCAGAAGCACAAUACUAAUAUUCACUUGUUCAUCAUCUUGUUGAUACUUGUUGGGUUACCUUUGAGCUCAUUUUCAAGGCAUGAAGAUGAUUAUUCGGAGAAUUAUGCUGUGAUAUUUGACGCUGGAAGCACUGGUAGCAGAGUUCAUGUCUUCCGUUUUAACUCAAAUAUGGACCUCCUCAAUAUUGCCAAUGAUCUUGAGUUCUUUUUGGCGAUAAAACCAGGUCUGAGUUCAUAUGCAGAUGAUCCAAAGGCUGCUGCAAAUUCUCUAAAGCCCCUUCUUGAGAAAGCUGAAGCUGUUGUUCCUAAGAAAUUACAGCCUCAAACCCCUCUUAAAAUUGGGGCAACUGCAGGGCUGAGGUUGUUAAAGGGUGAUUCAUCCGAAAAGAUUCUGCAAGCAGUAAGAGAUUUGCUGAAGAAUGAAACUACUUUGAGUUGCAAGGCUGAAUGGGUCUCUGUUCUCGAAGGAACCCAAGAAGCUUCUUAUUUUUGGGUUGCUUUGAACUAUUUGUAUGGGAAUUUGGGUAAAAGUUACUCAGACACCAUUGCUACAAUUGAUCUUGGAGGUGGAUCAGUCCAAAUUGCUUAUGCUGUCUCAAAACAAAGUGCUUUAAAUGCUCCUAAAUUAUCUAAUGGAGAGCCUUAUGUCCAACAAAGAUCACUUCUUGGAACAAAUUAUUACCUCUAUGUUCACAGUUUUCUAAAUUAUGGACUAUUAGCGGCUCGAGCUGAUAUAUUGAAGGCUUCUAAAAAUUCUACCAGUCCAUGCAUCGUGGAAGGGCAUAAUGGGUACUACACAUAUAAUGGAGUAGCUUAUAAAGCUGCAGCACAAAAAGAUGGUCCAAGUGUUAGGAGAUGCAAAGCAGUAAUUAGAAAAUUGUUGCAGCUUGAUGCACCUUGCAACCACAAGAAUUGUUCAUUUGCUGGGGUUUGGAAUGGUGAUGGUGGGGCUGGAACCAAAAAUCUCCAUGUCUCUUCAUUUUUCUAUGAUUUUGCUUCUGUGGUUGGCAUAGUAGAUCCAAAAGAGCCCUCUGGUAUAUCUCAACCAAUACAAUACUAUAAAGCAGCAAAGCUUGCUUGUCAGACUAAGAAGCAAAACAUGAAAUCAGUAUUCCGUAACAUUGGAGAUAAAGACAUACCCUUUCUGCAUGGAUCUAAUGUAUGAAUACACUUUGCUGGUAGAUGGAUUUGGCAUUGGUCCUUACAGAAAGAUCACAGUGGUGCAUCAAGUUAAUUACAAAAAUCACCUUGUUGAAGCUGCAUGGCCAUUAGGCUCUGCUAUUGAUGCUGUCUCAUCUACAACAUGAGAACAAUUAAUUACAUAUGUUGGGAUUAAUUUCCUGUUUCUUUUUCUUUAAUUUCUCUAGUUAAUUUAAUUAAGGACUUUGAAUUUCUUUAAUUUAAUUUGUUCUCAUGUGUAAAUUAAUUAUGACAUGUUUGUUUGCCUGGGAGAAUAUUAUAUUUGCUUAAACUAAUUAGAGCAAUUUCUCCCAUGGUAAAUGAAGUAGGAGCAGCUGUUUCUAUUGAUUCUCUUCAUCUAGUUAAAAUAUUAUUCCACUAACCUAA